rnacentral:lncRNA from 1 species
CUAGAUAGUUUUAAGGGCCUUUUCCUCAUAGCUGGUGUAUCAGCUGGCUCCGCUCUUCUCAUAUUCUUCCUCAUCUUCCUUUAUCAGAAUAGAGAAAUCUUAGACACUGAUGAUUCAAUAUGGCAAAAACUUUCUACAAUAGCUAAAGUCUUUGAUGAAAAGAAAGAUAACUCUAAUUCUAAGUCAGAAAUGCCAGAAGGCAAUGAGAGCCAAACGGCUACACCUUUUGCAGCAAGUGCAGCUUCCCCUGAAAUAUUGCUCCAUCUUGCUUCGCAAUGCCCAGAAAUCAGAAUUUCCGACAGCCUAGGAGCAUCCCAUGCAGAAGAAGGGUUUUCUACACCAGAACCUGGAACUCCAGUUCAUGAAACCCUUAUAUUGACAAAUGAAGAGAGAUGAUACAUAUAGCUGCUACUAAAAUAAUCAACACAACUGAAUAGGGCUCUACAAGAGAUUGUAAAGAGAUGACCUAGCUUUAGGGUUAGUUAAACCAUAUUACAUUAUAACCUUGUCCCUCUUGGCCAUAAUAGUUGUAUCAAGAGGCAGUUCCAGAAUUUAGAUAUGAUAGGUUCAACAUUUAAGUUCUUACUAUUGAAUUCAUUGCACUUUUGUAAUUACAGAUUCGUAAUUAAAAUUUGUUGAAAUUCUACUACUUUUCCACUUUGUAUACGAUCAAAAUCGGAGAGCUCGAUUUCGAAAUAUUGAUCAUACCCCGAGCUCGAGUUUCGAAGCUCGAAGUAAGAAUCAAGCCUGGAUUGGAUGUGCCCACCUCGAGAAGCAAGUCGGAGACCUGUCAUGAUCUGCAUCGAGGGCAGGACAAAUUUGACGGCGCUCAAGAAAGAACGGGAAUUCCCCAAAGAACACGUGGGUCAGGGUAUAAAGCAAGGGAUAAGAUUUGUACGAAAUAAUACAAAUCCAUACUAGGUUGUAAUACAAAUCCAUACUAGGUUGUUAUACAGUUGUACCAAUAGAAUUCUUUGCCACAAUUAGAAAUAUACCACAUUAGGAUUUUCCCCUUCUAUAUAAAAUGGACCCCAAUCUUUGUAAAACACAUCUAAUUUCAUUCAUUGCAAUAUAAUAUUCUACUUUGCUUUUCUUGUUUACCGUGCUCAGUAAUUAUUCUUCAGCUUUAUUGUUCAUACUUUAUCGCACUUAGCUCACCUCGAGCCCCCUGAGAUAAUCAAGCUCGAGGUCCUUAUUACUCUAACAACACUGGUUUGGCUCAUCAAUUCUUUUUACUUAAACUUAAUAUUAUUCACACAUUCACUCGUAUUGGAAUAAAUCACAUAUCUUUAAAACUAAAAAAUCAUAUUUAAUUUUUACUCAUAUUUUUCGAGAUAAACACACAUAUUUAUGUUCCAUGUCGAAAUUACUGGGUUCAGAAGUUGAACCCAAUAAAUAAGGAAGCAUCUGCCUCUGUUUUCAUCAAGGUUUUCGGGUGGGCAAACGAAAGAUUUCGGAGGAAUAGGAACAGAACAGCACUUAUCAGUACUUACGGACCACUUUCAGACGCCACAAGCGUAACUGAAACAAUCUAACAAAAUUACGAAUUUGCUAACCGAGAAACAAAUGGAAGUUUUAGGGUAAAAUCCACAGAGAAAAAAGAUGCCAACUUUAGCUCAAAAGUUGCUUGCAAUGCAAAAACAUAUUAAACUACAAAUGAUACAGACUGAUGUAGAAGAAAAAAACAGCAAAAUCUAAGUUGAACUGGUUAAUGAAAAACUUGAUCAAUGACGUAAAAAGGAUCAGAAUAUGUUACUUUAGAACUUUGAAAGAGAAAAUGGGACCUGGAAUAUUUGAGAAGGGAACCAAUUAUCUCCUCUGCAUUCCCAUCAGUGUUUAUGUUACAAUUCUGCAGUAAGAUGUGUCGAUAUCCCCUCCCAUGGCGGCAGAUUCAGUCAAGUAGGAAGCGGAACUGACGGCAUAGUGAUGAAGAAACAGUAGGAGAUUUCCCCCGCUGUUAGUUGACGGUAACGGAGAGAG